rnacentral:rRNA from 1 species
GAUGAACGCUGGCGGCGUGCCUAAUACAUGCAAGUCGAGCGAACGGACGAGAAGCUUGCUUCUCUGAUGUUAGCGGCGGACGGGUGAGUAACACGUGGAUAACCUACCUAUAAGACUGGGAUAACUUCGGGAAACCGGAGCUAAUACCGGAUGAUAUUUUGAACCGCAUGGUUCAAAAGUGAAAGACGGUCUUGCUGUCACUUAUAGAUGGAUCCGCGCUGCAUUAGCUAGUUGGUAAGGUAACGGCUUACCAAGGCAACGAUGCAUAGCCGACCUGAGAGGGUGAUCGGCCACACUGGAACUGACACGGUCCAGACUCCUACGGGAGGCAGCAGUAGGGAAUCUUCCGCAAUGGGCGAAAGCCUGACGGAGCAACGCCGCGUGAGUGAUGAAGGUCUUCGGAUCGUAAAACUCUGUUAUUAGGGAAGAACAUAUGUGUAAGUAACUGUGCACAUCUUGACGGUACCUAAUCAGAAAGCCACGGCUAACUACGUG